UAAUACGUAGGGUGCGAGCGUUAAUCGGAAUUACUGGGCGUAAAGCGUGCGCAGGCGGUUUUGUAAGCCAGAUGUGAAAUCCCCGGGCUUAACCUGGGAACUGCAUUUGGGACUGCAAGGCUUGAGUACGGCAGAGGGGGGUAGAAUUCCUGGUGUAGCAGUGAAAUGCGUAGAUAUCAGGAGGAAUACCGAUGGCGAAGGCAGCCCCCUGGGUCGAUACUGACGCUCAUGCACGAAAGCGUGGGGAGCAAACAGGAUUAGAUACCCUGGUAGUCCACGCCCUAAACGAUGUCAACUAGUUGUUGGGGGACUUACCUCCCUUAGUAACGCAGCUAACGCGUGAAGUUGACCGCCUGGGGAGUACGGUCGCAAGAUUA
rnacentral:rRNA from 1 species